UCCCCCUUUCCAGUGACGCACACAAUCCCUAGAUCCCUCUCCACUCUCCUUUCCCUCACCCACUCCACUCCCUCCACUCUCGCCCGCACGGCGGCACAACCGGCGGCCUCCUCUCACAUCAGUGUUCCCUUUCAUCCCCUCCACUCCACUCAUGCGACGGCGGUCACCACGUAGAUCGAGCGACCAGGCGGCAGCCAUGCACACACAACCGGCGUGCCGUCUCCUUCCACCUCGACGCACGACCUCGUGCGCCAGGAGAGUAGUGGGGGUCCUCUGCCUCUUCAUCGCUUAGCACCCCUGUCGCCACGCCAUGGAUGGACCUCCCUCUGCUCCAACCGACGCCAUGUACCGAGCUCGCUCCCCUCCUCAAGAUUACAAGUUUCAGAGAGUAGUUCACAAACUGUAAUAUCCCAAGGGGUUGUGCGGUAGUUGCUCGUCUUCAAGUGAUGAAGAUUCGCUGGCUGAGACUACAGCCACUAUGUGCUGUCAAGGAGCUGUCAAGUCGAAUUUCAGAGUCUUGUUUCAACAGACAACCUUCUUGAUCUUCUUAAACAGGAGUGUUAGAUUACUCGGAGCCAACAACGAAGCAUCAUGAUGGUCUCCAACUCGAAGCAAUCUUGAUCCAUCUGUAGAGUUGUAAUCAGGAUGAAUACAAGACCAAUGAUACAUAGGCGACAAACUAUGCAGGCAACAUUCAACAAUCUUCACACAGUCUUAUACCUGGAACCGUCGUGUAACUAUCGUCAACAUUUUCAGCUACGGGAGGAGCCACACAGAGCAAAGAAAGAUCCUCUUCUUGGGAGUUCAUCAAAACACUAUCAGCUGGCAAUGAAUCAAAUACAAAAAUUCUACUAACGCACAUUCCCCUGUACCGACCUGACAAUACUCCGUGCGGCCCACAUCAUUUUUCACCUGCUAUAAAUCAUAGGAUAUAUAGUGCUGCUAUGGACCAAGGAAUCAAGCAUUAGAAUUAUCUAAGCAAACAGACUUCCGAUAUUUUGCUAGGGUUGCUGAAGCCGAUUCUUAUGCUAUCAGGGCAUGACCACAACCAGUGCAGAGUUGUCCAAUCCACUCCUUUUGGGCCAGUAAUGGAGCAGACCCUUGGGACAAUAAGCUGGCAGCAAGGAAACCUGUAUCCAUCUUUUAUGCUGAUCAGGAGAACAAACUGCAAAAAAUGUGUUAUCUGGGCAAAAAGUGAUGACAUAGGAAGAGAUCUGAUCAAGUUGUCUAAAGAUGUUAUGACAUAGGAAGAGAUCUGAUCAAGUCAAUAACCCACUCCCACUCUGUCAUCCACUCUUUCAUUAUUUUCAGUUCAUGCGAUGGCUGUAUGAAAUGUGAUGGCUGUAAAAUUCAAAUAAUACCUGUAUUACGUGAGUGUCUAUGGGGCCGGAUCCUGGACGCCUUCGGCGGCGGCUGGUCAAAGGAAUAAUAGGAUCCUGGACGUGUUCGGAUCCUGAAAGGGAUCGGCGCCGGAUCCUGGAAGUGUUCGGCGGCGGGUCCUCAACUGGACCAGCGCCGGAUCAGUGGAGGCCGGCGGCGAAGGGAUGGAGCGGUGGUGGUGAAGGGACGAAGGGCGGCGGCGGGCGAACGAGGGCAGAGAGUCGUGCGUGCGACUGUUUCUCGCUCGAGGGCAGGAGACCUUGCUCGUACCUGCGGGCGAUUGGUUUAGGAUUUUUUUUUGCUGGUUUAUUUUCGUCGGUUUGUUUUUGCUGGUUUAUUUUCAUAGAUUUUUUUCGUUCA